GGCGGAUGUAGCCAAGUGGAUUAAGGCAGUGGAUUGUGAAUCA
rnacentral:tRNA from 1 species